AGAAUUUUCAGGAGGACAAGUUGCUUUUUAACUGCUUGAGGGAGCUAAAGAAACAACUGCAGAGGCUGCUUUUUAGGUAGAUGAGCAGUGUAGGAAAAAUAUAGAAAAAAAGAUGAUGUAGGUUGUUUGCAUAUUGCUCUGAAAUAAAACCUUGUUAUUAUGGCUUGCUUUAUUUCACUUGUAGCUGAAAGUAGAUUAUGGCUUCCUGUAGAUGGCAGAAUUUCAGCGUAGAGUCUGAUGGCAAGGUGAAUGAAAACAGCAUUUUGCAGGGCGCAACCAAAUUCUGGUAAAAAUUCAGGCUCUGAAAGAGUGCAAAAAUGCUUCUACAUGACUGAGAUGAUGAUAAGGCUGCCUGUCAUCUGACCAAAUUCACUUGAAGCUAUGAGGUAUCACAGUAGCACCAGUAGCACAGUCCAUUCAGGAGGAGCAGGAAACCCAUAACUGAGAUGACAUUGAGGUGGCAUCCUUAGAAAUCUGAUAACCCUACAGGAGCUCAUGAGAGGAGGAAAAUCCUGCUGGUCUGGAUAGCAGCUGGAGGGAGAAGGAAACUGGCUCGAGUAUGGCAUGGCAGCAAUGUUGUGUAACAUCUGUACAGCUCAUAGUGGGGAGGUUGAGAGCUCCAUGCCUUUCUGUGGCCUCCUGCAAGCUUCCCUGAAGACAGAAGUUUGUGGCUUACUGCAGACCAUAACAUAGAACUGAACUAACCUUGCUUGGAAGCAAGAGAUCAGUGCACAGCAAUGAGAUGGACUGAACAAA